rnacentral:ncRNA from 1 species
AUUUUAAUAGGUUAUGGAGUUAACCGUAAACCGCGAAAAAAGCUGAUGACUCCUACAUAAAA